rnacentral:rRNA from 1 species
CCCUUAGAUGUUCUGGGCCGCACGCGCGCUACACUGAUGAAUGUAACGAGCUCUACCCUUGACCGAAAGGCCCGGGUAAACUUGUGAAACUUCAUCGUGAUGGGGAUAGAUUAUUGCAAUUAUUAAUCUUCAACGAGGAAUUCCUAGUAAGCGCGAGUCAUCAGCUCGCGUUGAUUACGUCCCUGCCCUUUGUACACACCGCCCGUCGCUCCUACCGAUUGAAUGGUCCGGUGAAAUCUUCGGAUUGCUGACCAAGAUCCAGCAAUGGAGCUUGGUUGCGAGAAGUUGAUUAAACCUUAUUAUUUAGAGGAAGGAGAAGUCGUAACA